UGUUACACGGAAGGAAGGUCGAAGAAUAAUUCGGUUAACUUGCCCGUAUACUUCUGGGUGUUGAAUCCAAAGACUCGGUUCACCUGGUGUAUCGUCGCGAAAUUUUGCAGAAGCGAGUUAAUCAACGUUAAGAAGAAAGAAUCUUCGCGUGGCGGGUCGAGAUUUACGUGUUGGUUGCCUACAUAAGGCAAGUGAUAGAGAGAGAAGAGAGACGGACGUGGUGUUUCGCCACUAGCCUACCCGGGAUUUCUGCUAUGACGCUUGUGACUUGAAUCGAAAGGGCGAAUUCCAAGGUGACGGAGUUGAUGCCCUAGUAACUGGAACCUGCUAUUGAAGGAUGCUUAGGAUAAAUCCGGUGAGGCAAUAGGAUCCUGCUUUGUGCUUCGUGUACCGGUGGCUGUUUUUAUAUAUAAAUUUAAAGAUGCUUCAAACAAGAGACUUGCUUCAAACGAGAACGAGAGACUGCUUCAAACGAAAAUUAUUAGAAUGAUCAGUCACUGUUAAAUUUAAAGCUUCAAAUUAAAAUUGUUAAUAGAAUGAUCACAAUCACUGUUAAGUAUCGAUUUAUGACUGCUAAUGCUUUAAAAAUCUUAAUAUUUUCAUUUUCACCUUAGCACGAGGCUUCAUUGUCAGCGAAAUUGAUUAACCUUCUUCAUGGUUGUAUAUUCUUUACUGCAAAUGAUACAUUAAAAUUUAAUUAUU